rnacentral:misc_RNA from 1 species
AACGCACAUUGCGCCCUUUGGUAUUCCGAGGGGCAUGCCUGUUCGAGCGUCAUUUCAAACCUCAAGCUUCGGCUUGGUAUUGAGCGGCUCGCCUUCGCGUCUCGCGGAGGCGCCCUCGAAACUCGUGGGCGGUGAUGUCCAGCGUCGUAGCGUAGUCAUAAACCAUUCCGCUUCCGACAGCUCCUGGACGACUCACCCGCCGGGCGAACCGACGGCCCUCGCGGCGGUCAUUUUUUCUUAAGGUUUGACCUCGGAUCAGGUAGGGAUACCCGCUGAACUUAA